UAAGCAGUUAUUUUCUGUAUAUAAUUUUUAUUAAAAGAAAUCAACCAAACGAUCUGCAUAAAAAGCAAUUGUAAUUUAACAAAUCCUAAUUUAAAAAUAAGAACAAAAUUAUUUUUCAGAUAUCGCGGAAGUCAUUAAUGGCGUCCAAGCUCGACGCCGACGACGAAAUCGACGAGCUCCUCAGCGACCCCAAGAACAACGGAUCCGAAUAAUUAAAGAAUGCCGCCUGAUUAUUAGGACACAAAAACUGAUCCGCCG
rnacentral:lncRNA from 1 species